rnacentral:rRNA from 1 species
GAUGAACGCUGGCGGCGUGCCUAAUACAUGCAAGUCGAGCGAACAGACGAGGAGCUUGCUCCUCUGAUGUUAGCGGCGGACGGGUGAGUAACACGUGGAUAACCUACCUAUAAGACUGGGAUAACUUCGGGAAACCGGAGCUAAUACCGGAUAACAUUUUGAACCGCAUGGUUCAACAGUGAAAGACGGUCUUGCUGUCACUUAUAGAUGGAUCCGCGCCGCAUUAGCUAGUUGGUAAGGUAACGGCUUACCAAGGCAACGAUGCGUAGCCGACCUGAGAGGGUGAUCGGCCACACUGGAACUGAGACACGGUCCAGACUCCUACGGGAGGCAGCAGUAGGGAAUCUUCCGCAAUGGGCGAAAGCCUGACGGAGCAACGCCGCGUGAGUGAUGAAGGUCUUCGGAUCGUAAAACUCUGUUAUUAGGGAAGAACAAAUGUGUAAGUAACUAUGCACGUCUUGACGGUACCUAAUCAGAAAGCCACGGCUAACUACGUG